CCUACGGGGAGCAGCAGUCGAGAAUCAUUCACAAUGGGGGCAACCCUGAUGGUGCGACGCCGCGUGGGGGAAUGAAGGUCUUCGGAUUGUAAACCCCUGUCAUGUGGGAGCAAAUUAAAAAGAUAGUACCACAAGAGGAAGAGACGGAUAACUCUGUGCCAGCAGCCGCGGUAAUACAGAGGUCUCAAGUGUUGUUCGGAAUCACUGGGCGUAAAGCGUGCGUAGGCUGUUUCGUAAGUCGUGUGUGAAAGGCUCGGGCUCAACCCGCGAAAGGAACAGGAUACUGGGAGACUAGAGUAAUGGAGGGGGAACCGGAAGUCGCGGUGUAGCAGUGAAAUGCGUAGAUA
rnacentral:rRNA from 1 species